rnacentral:rRNA from 1 species
GUGAUAGCUGGUUCUCUGCGAAAUGCAUUGCAGUGCAGCGUCAAUCUAGAACUUAUGGUAGGUACAGCACUGAUUGACAUACUUUCCAUUGUAUGGAAGGUCGACUAGGGGGAUGUGAAAGUCCUAUCUAGGUCAGUUAACCUCGGAAUGAUCAUAAGUAUUUGUUGGCAGUGAGUCGUAGGGUGAUAAGGUCUUAUGACAAGAGGGAAACAGCCCAAA